AUGCACGCUGGCGGCGCGCCUAACCCCUGCAAGUCGCACGCUUAAAGCACCUUCGGGUGUGUAUAAAGUGGCGAACGGCUGAGUAACACGUGGGCAACCUGCCCCUUUCAUUGGGAUAGCCACGGGAAACCGUGGAUAAUACCGAAUACUUCGAGACUUCCGCAUGGAAGACUCGAGAAAGCUCCGGCGGAGAGGGAUGGGCCCGCGGCCUGUUAGCUUGUUGGUGGGGUAACGGCCUACCAAGGCAAUGAUGGGUAGCUGGGUUGAGAGACCGACCAGCCAGAUUGGGACUGAGACACGGCCCAGACUCCUACGGGAGGCAGCAGUGGGGAAUCUUGCACAAUGGGCGAGAGCCUGAUGCAGCGACGCCGCGUGCGGGAUGAAGGCCUUCGGGUUGUAAACCGCUUUCAGCAGGGACGAGGCGAAAGUGACGGUACCUGCAGAAGAAGCCCCGGCUAACUACGUG
rnacentral:rRNA from 1 species